rnacentral:rRNA from 1 species
GCCUACGGGACGCAGCAGUGAGGAAUAUUGGUCAAUGGGAGAGAUCCUGAACCAGCCAAGCCGCGUGAGGGAAGACGGCCCUAUGGGUUGUAAACCUCUUUUGUCGGAGAACAAAACCCGGGACGAGUCCCGGACUGCGUGUAUCCGAAGAAAAAGCAUCGGCUAACUCCGUGCCAGCAGCCGCGGUAAUACGGAGGAUGCGAGCGUUAUCCGGAUUUAUUGGGUUUAAAGGGUGCGUAGGCGGUCUGUUAAGUCAGCGGUGAAAUUGCGGGGCUCAACCACGUCGAGCCGUUGAAACUGGCAGA